ACGAUUUGUUGAUGGAUGCAUGAUUCUUUUAAAAUGGUUUGAGGUUUAAGUUCUCACUUUUAGAUGAUGGAUGUUGCCUUAUAGAUCAAUGCAUGAUGAAGUUAGGUUAUUUUUAAGUGGUUCUAGUGUGUUGAGUUAUUUUUUGUUGUUGUUGAACCAUUGCAUGGGAAUUCCAUUGUGUUUUGGUGGCUGUGAGUUAAGGUAGAAUCGAAUUCUGCCUUGCUAGAGAAUCCAGGUUUGGCCAUUAAAGUAAAGUUCAAUUGCCAAACCGGCCUGUGGAGGUAGCCUUUUAGCCGUCUAACCUGCCUCCGAAGGUUUAACUUUCGGAUCUGUGAAUGAGCUUUAGGCCACUAAAUCUGCUCCCCUGUCCAGUCUUUUUUAGCUUGUUUCCUACGUGUGUUCUUAUAUGUUUAUAGGGGUUUAUUGGAGUAGUUUUUUGAGUUAUAAAAAUUAUGUUUGGUCUCUCAUUUAAGUCUAUCUAUGUAGGAUCAAACUUGGGAGACCAUAAAAACUUGCAAUGAGAUAACUGUUUCAGAGUUAGGUGUGCAUCAGUCAGAGGUUUGUAGGAUCAGAGUUAGCUCGGGAGGUCGGUUGAGUUGUUAGUAUAGUCCGUUGUAAUAGUAUAACAGUGGACAUGUAUUGAUUUAUGGAUUAAAAUUGUGCUUCA